rnacentral:rRNA from 1 species
UACGAAGGGGGCUAGCGUUGCUCGGAAUCACUGGGCGUAAAGGGUGCGUAGGCGGGUCUUUAAGUCAGGGGUGAAAUCCUGGAGCUCAACUCCAGAACUGCCUUUGAUACUGAGGAUCUUGAGUUCGGGAGAGGUGAGUGGAACUGCGAGUGUAGAGGUGAAAUUCGUAGAUAUUCGCAGGAACACCAGUGGCGAAGGCGGCUCACUGGCUCGAUACUGACGCUGAGGUGCGAAAGCGUGGGGAGCAAACAGG